UACGUAGGGUGCAAGCGUUAAUCGGAAUUACUGGGCGUAAAGCGUGCGUAGACGGUCAUGUAAGUCGGGUGUGAAAGCCCCGGGCUCAACCUGGGAAUUGCAUUCGAGACUGCAUGGCUAGGGUGCGGAAGAGGGAAGCGGAAUUUCCGGUGUAGCGGUGAAAUGCGUAGAUAUCGGAAGGAACACCAGUGGCGAAAAGCGGCUUCCUGGUCCAGCACCGACGUUCAGGCACGAAAGCGUGGGGAGCAAACAGG
rnacentral:rRNA from 1 species